CCGUAAUUGGCUGAGUUUGCGGUCCUUCACCCACCGAGGUCACCGCCGCGAUACUAAACUCGUACUGGUUUUUCUUGUGCAAAUUCUCCACCUGAUAGCUGGUUUGAUACGGAGGCAAUGCCCGCUUGUACCAUUUUCCCUCCGGGCCAACCCAGCGGAUAUGAACGUUGUACGACGUGAUGUUCCCGUUGCUUCUGAGCGGCGGCUGCCAGGAUACGAUAAUCGAUGUCGCCGACCUGACGACCGCCUUCACGCCCGCUGGUACCUCCGGUAGAUCUUCCUCGGUGACGCAAUGCAAAGGCUGUGAAUCACGACGGUCAAGGCAGUGGUGAUCUUGGUUUCCGUCUUAGGCGACUCGGUCAGGGCGUUCAUGUUCUCCCAUAUGACUUUGUAGCCUUUCAGAAUACCGUUCAGACUGGAGUCGGGUGGCGCGUCCCACGAGACCUGCAGUGAUUGCGAGGACAGCGGCGUACACCGAAUGUCUUGCGGCGGACUGCUAGGCACUGAGGACAUUUCAACGAUGUCGCCAGUCAAUUACGCUAACAUACUAGAUUUGACAUUAGAAAUGCUAAUGCUGUCAAAAUGCUAUAUUUCGGAUUGCCUGUAUUUAUAGAAAGCACGUAGAUGAAUAUCGAUUUUUAUUCAGAAGUGCAAUUAGUAUACGUAGGAAUUAUAUCUAAAGGCUCGACGAUCGAAUUCUGUGAAUAUUC
rnacentral:misc_RNA from 1 species